AACGUAGGAGGCAAGCGUUAUCCGGAUUUACUGGGCGUAAAGCGCGUGCAGGCGGUAUGGUAAGUUGGAUGUGAAAGCUCCCGGCUUAACUGGGAGAGGUCGUUCAAUACUGCCAUACUUGAGGAUAGGAGAGGGAGGUGGAAUUCCGGGUGUAGUGGUGAAAUGCGUAGAUAUCCGGAGGAACACCAGUGGCGAAGGCGGCCUCCUGGCCUAUUUCUGACGCUCAGACGCGAAAGCUAGGGGAGCGAACGGGAUUAGAUACCCCCGUA
rnacentral:rRNA from 1 species